GCCAGGGUGGCUCAGUCAGUUGGGCAUCUGACUUCAACUCGGGUCAUGAUCUCGCAGUUCGUGAGUUCGAGCCCCAUGUCUGGCU
rnacentral:tRNA from 1 species